rnacentral:rRNA from 1 species
AAAUAAAUUCUUAUUUAUAUUAUAAAUUAUUAAUUAAUUAAUAGAAAUAACUUUGUUUUAAGUAUAUUUUAUUGAAAAAAUUCUUUUUAUUAUAGUUUAAAGUACUGUGAAGGAUUGAUUAUUUUUAAUUAUAAGUAAUUAUAAUUUAAUGUACCUUUUGUAUCAGGGAUGAUCAAAUUACUUUAUUUAUUAUAAGUUUCCCGAAAUUAGGAGAGCUAUAAUUGUAUGUUAGUUAAUGUGUUAAAAUUAUUAAUAAUUUAAUUAUAGUGAUGAAAUGUCAUUCGUUCCUAAAUAUCUGGUUUUCUUGGAAUUAAAUUUAAUUUAGGAAUAUUUAUGGGCUCAGGGGUAUUGUAUUCUCUUUGCUUUAAAAUUCUAGUAGUCUUGGGGAUAAGCUCAGGAUUAAUUAUAUAAGUUAAUAGUUUUAUGGAAUUUAGUAGGCUUGAAAUCAGCCAUCAUUUACUUCGUUAUAGAAGAUUUCCUUAAUAUGUUUAUUUAGUAUUCUUUAUUUUUAUACUUGAAUGAUUAAAUUAACGGAUAAUUUAUUGUAAUAAUGAUUAUAUUAGUAUUUUAGUGAAUUAAAUUAUAGGAACUCGGCAAAUUUAGUGUCUGCCUGUUUAACAAAAACAUGUCCUUUUGUUUAUUUAUUUAAGGUCUGACCUGCCCAAUGAGGAUUUCAAUGGCCGCAGUAUUUUAACUGUGCUAAGGUAGCAUAAUCAUUUGUCUUUUAAUUGAGGGCUGGAAUGAAGGGUUGGACGAGAUAUUAACUUUCUUUAAUUUAAUUUUAGGAAUUUAAUUUUUAAGUCAAAAAGCUUAAAUUUAUUUAAAGGACGAGAAGACCCUAUAGAUCUUUAUAGUUUUAUAUUUCAAUAAUUUGGGGAUUAAAAUUAUUUGAAUUAGAGGAAUUAUUUUGUUGGGGUGACUUUAGAAUUUAACUAACUUCUAUUUGUAGGAUUUCAUUAAUUAGUGUUUUUUUUGAUCCAUAUAUUUAUGAUUAUAAGAUUAAGUUACCUUAGGGAUAACAGCGUAAUUUCUUCGGAGAGUUCAUAUUGAUGAAGGAGUUUGCGACCUCGAUGUUGGAUUAAAAUAAGUUGUAGAUGCAGAAGUCUACUUUCUAGGUCUGUUCGACCUUUAAAUUUUUACAUGAUCUGAGUUCAGACCGGCGUAAGCCAGGUCAGUUUCUAUCCUUAAAAUUGUUUAUACAUUUUAGUACGAAAGGACCGGGUGUAUGGAAUAAUUCUUUUGUUUUUGAUUUAUAUU